AGCGGGGUGGUAGCAGUCCGGUAGCUCGUCAGGCCCAUAACCUGAAGGUCACAGGUUCAAAUCCUGUCCCCGCAACCA
rnacentral:tRNA from 1 species